UCCCAUAGCCUUUUGACUAGACACCAAUCC
rnacentral:piRNA from 1 species